rnacentral:ncRNA from 1 species
AUGAGUACUUUGAUGAGAAGAGUAGCUUGAUGAAAUAGUUAAAGAGAAUCCGGUUGGUGAGAAAGGAUGCUAGGCAGUUAAGUGAAGAUGAGCUCUGAGUUUCCAAAUUGUUCACGCAGUUUGGACGGGAAUGACCGUUAUAUCAUCGGGUUUCAAUAGGAACCUUUUGAGGUAUAGUCUGUGAAGGCUAUAUAAAUUAGGGUGGUAACACGAUUUUUCAGUCGUCCCUUUA